rnacentral:rRNA from 1 species
UACGAAGGGGGCUAGCGUUGCUCGGAAUCACUGGGCGUAAAGCGCACGUAGGCGGCUUUUUAAGUCAGGGGUGAAAUCCUGGAGCUCAACUCCAGAACUGCCUUUGAUACUGAGAAGCUUGAGUCCGGGAGAGGUGAGUGGAACUGCGAGUGUAGAGGUGAAAUUCGUAGAUAUUCGCAAGAACACCAGUGGCGAAGGCGGCAUCCUGGACCAAUUCUGACGCUGAGGAGCGAAAGCCAGGGGAGCAAACGGG